UUAAGAGUGGAAGGAAGGGUGUCUUGUUCUCUGCUGAAGGAAAGUGCGACGAGAACUCCUUCAACUGGUCGUAAAGUUAUGAAACGUUCUCCACGAAAUUCGUCGAAACAAAAAUGCAGAAAAACGGAAAUCAGUACCGCAAAGGGACCAAGGACGAUGCCUGAAAGAAAAUUACUCCGUCCGGCUUGCCCUUCAGCCGCCUUCAGCGCCCUUCAGUAGUCAACUUGGUGGUCAACUGUUUUGAGCACCUUCGGUCAACUGUGGUGUAUCGAGGAAAUAACCAGGCCCUGCAAGUACUGGACCCUCCGACGAGCCCGACCAACUUAUCAACUCCUCGCUCAUCAUUUUCCAUUCUAUCGGGUUGGAAUGCAUUUGCACCAAUUGAUGUCCCAACUUCAAUUACUUGACUUGAUUGAUCAAUGCUUUCACCUUCAGCGGUGAAAUUCCUGGCAACUGUUAUUCCUGAGAGGGUCAAGGAAAGAUGGGCUGACAACCCAUGAAACUAAUGGUGCUCUUCAAGGCAAAGAAACUCUAAGAACUGCAGAGCAUGUCUUAUUCACUAAUGAUGGCAUACCUAGACAGAGACGGAAGAUGAUCUAGAAGAUGGUGUCAGCAAGCAUUUUGCAGAACUUUUCAGAGACUGAACCCCUCCUACUGAUCCUCUUGUUUCAGCGUUAGAGAGCUGAAUUAAUUUUUUAACUUACCGUUUUUAACCUUUUAUCUCUUUGCCUCAGUUAUGCUCACAAUUCUCCAGAGCAAUGCCGAUAAACUUUUAAGUUCCUGCAAUCUUUUGGUUUACAUUCUUUGAUGUUUUCAUGAAAGCAUUCAAGCCCUCUGUAAUGUUCCAAUAUUCCAAUAACACUUCAACAAAUUUGUUUUAAAGAGGCUUCACCUUCAAUCUAUAUAUUUGUAUUAUUUAAUGGAAAGUUGUGAUAAGUCCCUGUUCCUUUUUUAAGAUUUUGAUAGACAAUAUUUGUGAAAUGAGCAGUAAAUAAAAGCAAAUAACAGAAGCAUUUCAUAAGUAUCUAACCAUGUUGCAAAUGCAGUACUCAUUAGCAUUGUUUCCACUCAUUUUUAGUGUCCAGUAUUUUGAAACACUUAUUUUUUACUAAGUUAAUAUUUUAUAAAGGCUUCAGCUCCAAUUUCAAUAGAUGUGGUUUGAAACUGUGAAGUGUCCAGUAUUGUUAAUUUCCUGGAGGUUGUACAUUUUUUAAAAAUGUCUUUGUUUGUGUCUAAUUAUGUUUCAGUCACUGCUGUCAGUCUAGUUAUGCGUGUUGUCACCACCAUACAAUUUCUCUUUGUUUUGUUCAA